GGAAAAUUACAGGGAUGGAAAUACAUCUUAGGGUUUAUCUGCACCAGGGCCUAGCUGGGAUCUCUAUCAGUCCCUGGGAACUCCAGCAAUCCCUGCCAGCAGACAGGCAUUGUGUUGAUGCAGAUGAACAGAGGAAGUUUGGAUUGCUGAGACCAUUUAAUAAACUAAGGGAAAGAGGAGAAAGUAAAAGAAAAUCCUCCAGCUGAAGAUGCCACAGAACAGAAAAAGACCAUCUGUGUUUUACAAAGGUUUUUAUCCUCAAGACAGCCAUAAUUCACACCAGUGUCGUGACACAAGCUCCAACCAACAAUACUGGAAAGGUUAUGUCAGCACUGAUGUCACCUGGACCCCACGAGCCAGCACUGAGAAUGUGGCUGGAAUCCAUCGCCGGUGUCCGGGACAGAGGGCAGGUGGUGGUAGAGGACUUCUCUUCUUGGAAACAGACCAUAUUUAUGCCAGACAUUAACUGCUGGGUAACAACAAGCCUAUUUAUAGAAUGGACACAACUAGCCCAUAAAAUCCUUUUGGAGCUGACCUGAUCACUCCUGUGUACAGCACAGCUGUGUACAGCAUAGAUUCAUUGUCUGUGCUCACUAAAAACACGUGCGCCUACAGGAUAACUGGAGGAAGAAGCAGAAAAAAAGUUUGAUGCUAUGAGCCAUUUACAGGAAAAAAAGUUGUAGCACUUCAUAGUGAUAUUAAAACUGCAAGUGACAAUGACAAGGAAUUCUAACCAUGGCUAAU